GACAGAGGUCCCGAGCGUUAGGCGGAAUCACUGGGCUUAAAGCGUGUGUAGGCGGAUUGGUAAGUACCUUGUGAAAUCCCACGGCUUAACCGUGGAACUGCUUGGUAUACUGCUUAUCUUGGGCCACUUAGGGGUUACCGGAACAAACGGUGGAGCGGUGAAAUGCGUAGAUAUCGGGAGGAACACCAGUAGCGAAGGCGGCUCCCUGGGCCAUUCCUGACGCUGAGACGCGAAAGCGUGGGGAGCAAACAGG
rnacentral:rRNA from 1 species